rnacentral:siRNA from 1 species
GAUGGCUCAUGAUCUGUGGAAUGA